ensembl:lncRNA
CCCCCGCUAAUUUGGAACUCAGGGCUCUCAAUCUCCAUCUGCUGUGUUGGUGACAAUUGAGAGUCCCUGCUUAAGCUUGAAUAAACGACCCUCAUGUGCUUACAUCGGAAAUGGCCUCCUGGUGGUCUUUGGGACCUUGCAAUCUGGGCACAACACCAGCCACAGUAAGAUACUACUUUACUCCAACUAGAAGAGCUAUUGCCAAGAAGACAAUAGUAAAUGCUGAUCAAGAUAUAGAGAAAAGGGCAGCCUUCUAUGCUGUUGUUAGAAAUGUAAACUAGUACAACCACUGAGGAGAACAGAUUGAGGUUCCUCAAAAAAUUAAAAGUAGAGUUACCUUAUGACCCAGCGAUCCCACUACUGAGUAUAUAUCUGUGGAGAACACUUUGAAAUAAGAUGGAAUUGUAUAACCCUAAGUGUGCUGUAACCCUAAGUGUGCUGUAACCCUAAAGUGUGCUGUGACUUUAAGAGCGCUGUAACCUAAGUAUGACAUAAUCAUAAGAGUGAUGAAAGUAGAAUCUUAAGUGGUAUGGAACUGAUAAGGGUGUGCCCUGAACUGGACAAGGAGUACCCCGAACUGGACAGGGUGCGCCCUGAAAUGGACAGUGUGAUAAGUCUGAACCAAUACCACAAGCGCCCAGUUAGAAUAGUAUAAAAGGAGCUGAAGACCCCAAGCAAGUCGACGAUCCAUCCACCGACCAGUCGACCAGUCAAUCUGCUGAUCUGAUUACCAACCGAGACAUCUGCACACCUGAUCCCACUGGAAGGAGCGUCUCCGCCGACCAGACGGGACCAGAGGAUGAGGCAAGCAGAGAGACGGAUAGCCUAACUCCGACUCGACGCCCUUCUUCUACGGAUCGGACCCUCUGACCCUACGGGAGGAAACGUCGCGCUCCCAUAAGGACUUGCGCAGUACAGGUACAGGGACGUGGUAAUUGGCAGACUUAAUAUUGUGUGGUAAUUGUAUUGAAGUGAAUUAUGAUAAGUGUGUGAACUGCCGUCCGUGUCCGAGUCCUCUUUACCCACGGUACCUGCUCACGACAAUAGCCAAAGGGAAUGAAAUCAGUAUGUAGAAAAGGCAUUUUCCCUCCAUGUUUAUUGUACCACCAUUUGCAAGAGCCACAAAGUGGAAACAACUGCAGAGUCCAACAGAUAAUGCAUAAGAAAAAGUGGUAUCACGAUGGUAUGUGAUUCAGCUAUAAAGCAUUAAAUUCUGCCAUUUAUGACAACGUGGAUGGAGUGGGAGAUCAUUUUGCUAAGCCAAGCACAGGUAGAAAAGUACUAUGUGAUCUUAUUCAUAUGUGGAAGCUAAAAAUGCUGACCUCACAGGAACAUAGGGAAAUGGCUAGAGGCAGCCAAGAGUGGAGGAGGGAGGAGUGGCAAAGGCUGGCCCACAAGAACUGAGGGACAGUUGUACAAAAGUAAGAGCUCUGCUAUGCCACUGCACAGAAGAGUUACUAUGGCCCAGCUAUGGAAUACUGAGACAUAAUUCCAUUUUGGCCUCUGGUCACAACUGAGACCUCAAUGAUCCGAGUGAUGCUGUGAUUCUCCAGGACAAGAUUACACCAGGAGACAUUCAUCUGCUGAACACUUUGCUUUCCAAGUGAUGGGUGCAGUUACUGUUCCUCCUGUUGCCUCCUGCAGAGGCACAGUCUUCUAUCAAAGUCCCUAUUUCCUGGACAGGAUUCCAGAUGCUGCAGCCUGUUUGACUCCCAGGAUAUAAUCCAGGAAAGAAUGGUGGGAGACUUGAUGAAUAUGAACAAGAAGGGUGAACCCUAGAAGGAAAGUCCUCAACAGGGCUCUCAACAACAGAGACAAAGGCACAAAACAUUUCUUCUCCCAGCACUGAAGAGUUCUGCAGGAGACUGGCCACAUCUGUAAUGAGGGCAUCCCGGACGGCUUGGAGCUGAGCCAGGCUCUCCAGCCAUAGGAGGGGAGGCCAGAAGGCCAAGAUGCAGAAGGUGCAGCACUGAUGAGCUGACUCCAGCAGCUCAAAGUCCACAGUCAGCUGGCUCCAAAGCAGGGAACAUCACAGAGGAGAAACAGUCCAUGGCAAAGCAGGGCAGACAGAAGGCAGCAAAGCAGUGAAGCAACAGCAGCAGGCCAAGUAGCAACCAAAGUAGCAAGUGAUGACAGCAGCCCGGAACCACUGAGAGAGAGAAAUUGUAUGACCUUGAGAAUUUUAGCAACUGACAUCUAGAUGGCAGAGGCAGGAUGCAAAAAUCAAAAGAAAAAAAUGCAACUUUAAACACUUUUCCAUGCUAACACCUAAGGCUUCUAGGACUCAGCUUCUGAGUUUGGCUGAAGAGGUGGGUAGUAAUGGUAACCUGCUUACAGUGUGCAAGAAUUUUAGGAGAC